CGGGACGUGGCGUAGCUUGGUAGCGCACUGCACUGGGGGUGCAGGGGUCGUCGGUUCGAAUCCGGCCGUCCCGAC
rnacentral:tRNA from 1 species